UACGGGGGGGGCAAGCGUUGUUCGGAAUUACUGGGCGUAAAGGGCUUGUAGGUGGCCAACUAAGUCAGACGUGAAAUCCCUCAGCUUAACUGGGGAACUGCGUCUGAUACUGGAUGGCUUGAGAUUGGGAGAGGGACGCGGAAUUCCAGGUGUAGCGGUGAAAUGCGUAGAUAUCUGGAGGAACACCGGUGGCGAAGGCGGCAUUCUGGACCGACAUUGACGCUGAGGAGCGAAAGCCAGGGGAGCAAACGGG
rnacentral:rRNA from 1 species